rnacentral:rRNA from 1 species
UAGACUUCAAAUCAGGUGGGAC